rnacentral:rRNA from 1 species
UACGGGGGGAGCAAGCGUUGUUCGGAUUUACUGGGCGUAAAGAGCGUGUAGGCGGCCAGGUAGGUCUGCUGUGAAAACUCGAGGCUCAACCUCGAGACGUCGGCGGAAACCAUCUGGCUAGAGUCCGGAAGAGGAGAGUGGAAUUCCUGGUGUAGCGGUGAAAUGCGCAGAUAUCAGGAGGAACACCGGUGGCGAAGGCGGCUUGCUGGGCCUUACCUGACGCUGAGGAGCGAAAGCGUGGGGAGCGAACAGG